AUUGAACGCUGGCGGCAUGCUUUACACAUGCAAGUCGAGCGGUAACAGGCCUUCGUGUGCUGACGAUUGGCUAACGGGUGAGUAAUGCAUCCGAACGUACCCAGAGGUGGAGGAUAACGCAGCUAAAGCUGUCUUAAUACCGCACGUGAUCUGAGGAUCAAAUCGGUGGACGGGGCAGCAAAGUUUCGCCGCGCGCGUUUGGAGCCGCCGAUGUCGGAUUAGCUAGUUGGUGGGGUAAAGACCUACGCAGUCGACGAUCCGUAGCUGGUCUGAGAGGACGGCCGGCCGCACUGGGAGUGAGACACGGCCCAGGCGCCUGCGGGAGGCAGCAGUGGGGAAUGUUGGACAGUGGGGGGAAGCAUGGUCCAGCAAUGCCGCGUGCGAGAAGAAGGCGUUCGGGUUGUAAAGCGGUUUUGGGAGGAACGAAACGGUGUCGGCUAAUACCGGGCGCUAAUGACGGUACCUGCAGAAUAAGCACCGGCUAACUACGUG
rnacentral:rRNA from 1 species